GAUGAACGCUGGCGGCGUGCCUAAUACAUGCAAGUCGAGCGAACAGACGAGGAGCUUGCUCCUCUGACGUUAGCGGCGGACGGGUGAGUAACACGUGGAUAACCUACCUAUAAGACUGGGAUAACUUCGGGAAACCGGAGCUAAUACCGGAUAACAUGUUGAACCGCAUGGUUCAACAGUGAAAGACGGUUUUGCUGUCACUUAUAGAUGGAUCCGCGCUGCAUUAGCUAGUUGGUAAGGUAACGGCUUACCAAGGCAACGAUGCGUAGCCGACCUGAGAGGGUGAUCGGCCACACUGGAACUGAGACACGGUCCAGACUCCUACGGGAGGCAGCAGUAGGGAAUCUUCCGCAAUGGGCGAAAGCCUGACGGAGCAACGCCGCGUGAGUGAAGAAGGUCUUCGGAUCGUAAAACUCUGUUAUUAGGGAAGAACAAAUGUGUAAGUAACUAUGCACGUCUUGACGGUACCUAAUCAGAAAGCCACGGCUAACUACGUG
rnacentral:rRNA from 1 species